rnacentral:rRNA from 1 species
UGGGAAUAUUGCACAAUGGGCGCAAGCCUGAUGCAGCCAUGCCGCGUGUGUGAAGAAGGCCUUCGGGUUGUAAAGCACUUUCAGCGAGGAGGAAGGUGGUGAGCUUAAUACGCUCAUCAAUUGACGUUACUCGCAGAAGAAGCACCGGCUAACUCCGUGCCAGCAGCCGCGGUAAUACGGAGGGUGCAAGCGUUAAUCGGAAUUACUGGGCGUAAAGCGCACGCAGGCGGUUUGUUAAGUCAGAUGUGAAAAUCCCCGGGCUCAACCUGGGAACUGCAUUUGAAACUGGCAAGCUAGAUCUCGUAGAGGGGGGUAGAAUUCCAGGUGGUAGCGGUGAAAUGCGUAGAGAUCUGGAGGAAUACCGGUGGCGAAGGCGGCCCCCCUGGACGAAGACUGACGCUCAGGUGCGAAAGCGUGGGGAGCAAACAU